rnacentral:rRNA from 1 species
CGGGUGAGUAACGCGUGAGGAACCUGCCUCAAAGAGGGGGACAACAGUUGGAAACGACUGCUAAUACCGCAUAAGCCCACAGCUCGGCAUCGAGCAGAGGGAAAAGGAGUGAUCCGCUUUGAGAUGGCCUCGCGUCCGAUUAGCUAGUAGGCGGGGUAACGGCCCACCCAGGCGACGAUCGGUAGCCGGACUGAGAGGUUGAACGGCCACAUUGGGACUGAGACACGGCCCAG